rnacentral:lncRNA from 1 species
UAACCAUACCAGCAGUGCACAGCGCUUAAGCAGACUAGUUUCGAUCAUCUACCUCUAGUGAUCAAUAACCAAAGGUGCAAAUAUACACAUGUGCAACAGGCACAUUCAGAUUUCAAGCUUCGGAAACUUGUGGUCAUACUCAUGAUAUUCCUUCAUGUAUAAGACCCCCUUCAAGCAUUCAAGAUUUGAAGCAUAGCAUUUUUCUUCCACAGAAAAUGUCCA